rnacentral:rRNA from 1 species
CCUACGGUUGGCUGCAGUGGGGAAUAUUGGACAAUGGGGGCAACCCUGAUCCAGCCAUGCCGCGUGUGUGAAGAAGGCCCUCGGGUUGUAAAGCACUUUCAGUGAGGAAGAACGCCUGGUGGUUAAUACCCAUCAGGAAAGACAUCACUCACAGAAGAAGCACCGGCUAACUCCGUGCCAGCAGCCGCGGUAAUACGGAGGGUGCGAGCGUUAAUCGGAAUUACUGGGCGUAAAGCGCGCGUAGGUGGCUUGAUAAGCCGGUUGUGAAAGCCCCGGGCUCAACCUGGGAACGGCAUCCGGAACUGUCAAGCUAGAGUGCAGGAGAGGAAGGUAGAAUUCCCGGUGUAGCGGUGAAAUGCGUAGAGAUCGGGAGGAAUACCAGUGGCGAAGGCGGCCUUCUGGACUGACACUGACACUGAGGUGCGAAAGCGUGGGUAGCAAACAGGAUUAGAUACCCGAGUAGUC